CCUACGGGGAGCUGCAGUGAGGAAUAUUGGUCAAUGGACGAGAGUCUGAACCAGCCAAGUAGCGUGAAGGAUGACUGCCCUAUGGGUUGUAAACUUCUUUUAUAUGGGAAUAAAACGUUCCACGUGUGGGAUUUUGUAUGUACCAUAUGAAUAAGGAUCGGCUAACUCCGUGCCAGCAGCCGCGGUAAUACGGAGGAUCCGAGCGUUAUCCGGAUUUAUUGGGUUUAAAGGGAGCGUAGGUGGAUUGUUAAGUCAGUUGUGAAAGUUUGCGGCGCAACCGUAAAAUUGCAGUUGAAACUGGCAGUCUUGAGUACAGUAGAGGUGGGCGGAAUUCGUGGUGUAGCGGUGAAAUGCUUAGAUAUCACGAAGAACUCCGAUUGCGAAGGCAGUUCACUGGACUGCAACUGACACUGAGGCUCGAAAGUGUGGGUAUCAAACAGGAUUAGAUACCCGAGUAGUC
rnacentral:rRNA from 1 species